GACGAACGCUGGCGGCGUGCUUAACACAUGCAAGUCGAACGGAAAGGCCCUGCUUUUGUGGGGUGCUCGAGUGGCGAACGGGUGAGUAACACGUGAGUCACCUGCCCUUGACUUUGGUAUAACUUCAGGAAACUGGGGCUAAUACCGGAUAGGAGCUCCUGCUGCAUGGUGGGGGUUGGAAAGUUUCGGCGGUUGGGGAUGGACUCGCGGCUUAUCAGCUUGUUGGUGGGGUAGUGGCUUACCAAGGCUUUGACGGGUAGCCGGCCUGAGAGGGUGACCGGCCACAUUGGGACUGAGAUACGGCCCAGACUCCUACGGGAGGCAGCAGUGGGGAAUAUUGCACAAUGGGCGGAAGCCUGAUGCAGCAACGCCGCGUGCGGGAUGACGGCCUUCGGGUUGUAAACCGCUUUCGCCUGUGACGAAGCGUGAGUGACGGUAAUGGGUAAAGAAGCACCGGCUAACUACGUG
rnacentral:rRNA from 1 species